CUUGAGCAUUGAAGUGGAACUCGUGGCCCAAGGCCAAGAGUCUUCUUUAAACUUUAACCUUUGGUUGCAGGUAUUGGAAGUGCUCGGUCUUGGAAGCCCCUUGUCAUCAAUAGGUGUGUUAAGCGUGGACUCACGUGCUUAAAAAUUUUUUCACCUGAUCAAAAAUCAAUCAACUCCCAACUAGAAUAUUAGACUUUCCAGCCUACUGUCCAAGUAGAAAAUAUCGCUCAAUAGAGUACUACUAUUGACAAAACUGAGGGAGCCAUACUGCCAUUAGCAGCUAUUAUAAUGGGAGCUAUUUAAAUAUUUGGUUUGACUUUUGUUAUCAAUACAAUAGUUAUAGUACUAG
rnacentral:misc_RNA from 1 species